CAAAUUUAAUCAAUAAAAGCUAUUUGCUCAAUCAAAAAUUUUUUCAUAAAAUGUUACAGGGGCUUGCCAAUUUAUGGGCUCCGUUCUUGAGAGAACUUAGUUCUGUCCAAAUCUUGGUUCUGUAUGUUUUCUCUUCCCUCUAGCAUAAAGUAAACUUCUUAUGACACGAUUAUGGUAAACUUUUAUCGGUCUGUCAAAUCUUCGUGUGAUUUUUUUCGUGUGUAUAUAUUUUUUUCUCUCUUCCAAAAUGCUGAGAGAUUCAGUUUGGUGACUUGAAAGCCUGAAUAAAUUCUUGGACCAAGUCAGUCAAAUCAAUUGCCAAAUCCAAAUGUUGGCUGGAAUACCAGAACACUUUUAUGCUUGUAGAAAAUGUCCUGGUUUUCUUGGUCAGGGCUGCUUUGAGUGUUGGCUUGGUUCCUCUCAUAGCACCUGGAGAAAGGUCCAUACUUCUUAGAAAACAAAAGAAAAUCUUCUUCAGAAUUAUCUAUUUCUGGAAAAGUUAAGAGUUUCAUUUAUAUUCUGAAAAUGGGUGAUUGCUUUGCCUGUUGUGAACCAGUUGUACUAAGGGUAGAAAGCAUAAAGCUGAAAAAUUUGUCCAUCCAAGCCUUCCUUGAGCAUCUGUGCUCAGUGAUGAGGGUGCACAGAUGAAAUGGAUGUAUUUUCACUUCUCUAAGUGCUAAAAUCUACUGGAAGAUACAGACAUAUAAACAGAUAAUUAUAGUACCAUAUAAUAAGUGCUGUAAAGAUAUGUGAAUACAGUGAUAUGGAAACCUAAAGGAGGGGAAUAUUUUUAUAUGUAUCUGUGCAUUGCUAUUCUUCGCCAUUACUGGCACUCUUUCUAGAAGCCUCAUGAGAAGGAGACAAAAACAAAGAAGUUCUGAAUCUGCAUCUGGAAGUAUCACACAGAGGGGAGGGCUUCGCUGUAUUGGGGUUGAAUAAGGUGCUGAUAAGCCAAGUAUUAUUACCUGCGUGUGUAGAGCUUUGACUAUUUCCAGCACGUCGCUGAGGACGGAGGCUUCUCAGUGGCGGUGCCAAGGAAACUGUUGGAGGUUGCCAGUCAUUUUAGAGAAAUGCCAUGGAACGCAGCAUGCCAGAUGGCUACUGAUGAAAGUGAUGAAGGUUCACGCUUAGAAAUGAAGUCCAAUUCCAUAUUUGGUCCUUCUUUCCUUCCUUCUCUUUUGAAGGCAUAAGACAGCACAAACUCAGCCUUAUUCUACUCUUGCCCUACAAAAUUGCCAUCAUCCUUUUCUCUUUUAUAAAGUACUGGAGAGAUACAGUCAAGUUACAUCUGCUUCAUUCCCAAAGGCUCAAAGGCUCCCCCGGCCCAUCUCUCGCUGCACCAGGCCCUUUCUCUCUUGACCCUUCUUACUCCUCUUCUCACUCCUCCUUUGCCUGCCAGGAAUCACUGUCAACAGAACCCACGGAGGGUCGGCUGCCUGCCGGGGACUAGUUUCUGUAAGGCAGAAAGAAGCACCAGGAGAUCCGAAAGUGAAUCAUAAAUGUGCUGGGAUUUCAGAAGAUGUUACUGGAUGCAGGAAUGGAGAGGACCUGGCUUGGAAAUUUCAAGUAAAGGGGUACCAGAGUUGAAUAGGGGAUCCAUGCCUGAACAAUCAGUUAGAGAAAAUUAAGAGCCAAUUUUUUUCUGUUGCCGUGGUUUCAGCUCCCAUUUCUAUGCUGAGGAAUCCUGAAAUCUCUAUCUCUAGCACGGUAUUUCUCAUGAGCUUCUCAACUCUUUAUCUUAAUGGCCAUCUUCCCCUGAACAGUCCACAGAAAAGUGAAACUGAAAAUGUCUAAAAUCAUAUGAUUCCUUUCCUGCCUUCAAACCUACUUCUCAUUCUGUUUCCUACACUUUUGUGGAGCCCCCAUCUAUCUAGUUAUCCACAUUAGAAACCUAUUCCCAACAUACCCCACUCAUUUCUCAAAUUCAAUCGCAAUCCUAUAAAUUUUGCAUUCCAGAUAUUUUAUGAAUUUAUUAUACUUCUCCAUCUCUAAGUCAAAGCAGCAAAAUGUUCAAUAAGCAGCUCCAGCAUGGCCCCAGGCUAAUGGCAGUAAUUAAAUCCAGAAUGCAUAGGACUCCAUGGUGGCAUUCCAUAAGGAGAAUUCUAUAAACAUAUCACCUUUCCGGCCACACAUUUUUUUCUUCCAGAAAUUAAUGUUUACCUUGUAGGAAAGUGCUGGGCAUUUUAAUUUUUUCCUGAAACUUUACAUUCUUAUCACCCUCCUAGCUUUCUUUUAACAGGUAAUUAACUCGUAAGAAUCUUAAGAUUCAUAUAUUGGCCAGACCAAUGCCAUCACUGUCUAUUUGCUAUAGAGAAGGGGUCCACUGAGAGUCAGAGUAGUCCUGCAGCCUCAUGACUGUGACAAGUGGUACCCACAGAGGUUUCCAAUGCCAGUGGCAGGCGUGUGACCUUGGGCCCUCUGUGCCUUGGGAGGACACUAUCACAGAAGAGAUAUGCAUAUCAAUUUGGGAAAAGCUGGAAAAAGUUAUCAGUCAUUUCCUGAUUCUAUUAAGAAUCUGGGAGUCUAGUUUCUACUUGAGUUCCCUAAAGAAAUAAAAAUAUGCACCAUUUGGGGAUAAGCAGGGAAUGGGAGAAAGGGUACAGCAUAUUACAUCCCCAUCCCAAUCAACAGAAAGAAAAUUAGGAAAGGACUGUCAAUUCUCAUGAAGUUGACAUUAUUUCAUGAAACUGAAUUACUCUAUAAAUAUUUAAUAAUCUACCCUGCCUAAGCAAUGUGGGCACAUAGAGCUGCAAAUAACAUUGCCAUGAUUGUUGUCUUCAGCAAGCUUACAGUACAGCAAGAGACGAAGUCAUGGAAACAAGAACUUACAAAGCAAUGUCAUUAGAAUUGUAUGUAAUGUGUGUGAAGGGAGGUGCAGACAUGUGAAGUGGACAGCCAACUAGAUUUAGGGGAGAGUGAAAAAAGAUAUUGCUGCAGGAAAUUAUAUCCAAGCUGAGACCAGAAGUUGAACAAAAGUUGGUCAAGUUGCAGAAAGAGAGUAUGCACAGAGGAGAUGGGUUCUGGGAGAAAGCAACAGCAUGGGCAAAGGCCCAGGAAUGGGAGAUGGUCGGGCCCAUUUAGGACUACAAAAGAAGUUUAUCCUAGCUUGUGUAGAACUGAUACACAAAGUGAUGAGAUAUAAGACCAGAAAAACAAUGUUUGAACUUUGAAGGCUCUUAUUGGCUGCAUGGAGAAAUUAAGACUUUGUCAUGUCUUGUGUCUUAGAAAUGUCACUCAUAGUGAAAAGAAUGGAUUAAAAGGGGAGAAGGCUAGAGGAAGGGUUAUUGAUUAGGAGGCUUAUUCCAGUAAUUUAGAUGAGGAAUUAUGUUGGCUUUUGUUAAGGAAAUAACAAUGAGGAUGUAAAUAAGUGGUUAUGUUAAAAAAUAUUUAGGAAUUCGACUCAAUAAGAAUUGGUGAUUACCAAUCUACAGUUGCAAAGACAUGGAACAAACUUAAGUGCCCACUGACCAAUGAGUGGAUAAAAGAAAACAUGGUAUAUAUAUACCAUGGAACUACUCAGCCAUAAAAAGGAAUGAAAUGUCCUUUUCAGCAACUUAAAUGGAGCUGGAGGCCAUUAUUCUAAGUGAAGUAACUCAGGAAUGGAAAACAGAAUACCAUAUGUUCUUACUUAUAAGUGGGAGCUAAACUAUGAGUAAGCAAAGGCAUACAGAGUGAUAUAAUGAACUUUGGAGACUCAGAAGGGGAAGGAUGGGAAGGAGUAAAGGAAAAAACAUCUACAUGUUGGGUAUAAUAUACACUAUUCAGGUGACAGGUGCACUAAAAUCUCAGAAUUCACCACUAUAUAAUUCAUCCACAUAACCAAAAACCACCUGUACCCCAAAAGCUAUUGAAAUCUAAAAAUAAAUAAAUAAAAAUUUUAAAAAUAGAAUGGUGAUAACAGGAAGACUGAGGAGACAGCAAAACUAAGAAGGACCCCAUGUGUCUGACAUUAGCAGUUUGUUGGAUGGGAAUAGCAUUCACUGUGAUAGGAAACUAGAGAGAAGAAGCAGGUUUGGGGAACGGGAUCAAAGGAGGAUAAUGAGUUGAGUUCCUGAUGUUUUCAGUUCUAGAUUUUUGCAGUAUAUACAAGUGGGAAUAUGCAUAGACAGUUGUGUAUGGAGGUUAGAAGAGAGAUCUGAACAAAGGAUAAACAUCAGAGAGUCAACAGCACAUAAUAGUGACAAUGGGAGUAGAUGACAUCUACCAUGGAGAAGAUGAGAGUAGGAGUUGAGACUUAGAACAGGAACUGGAUUUUUUUUUUUACUUUUUUUUAAUUUUUAAGUUUCAGGAUACAUGUGUAGGAUGUACAGGUUUGUUACAUAGGUAAAUGUGUGUCAUGGUGGUUUGCUGCACCUAUCAACCCAUCACCUAGGUAUUAAGCUCCACAUGCCUUAGCUAUUUAUCCUGAUGCUCUCCCUCCUACCGCCCCCCAACCCCCGACAGGCCCCAGUUUAUGUGGUUCACCGCCGUGUCCAUGUGUUCUCAUUGUUCAGCUCCCACUUAUAAGUGAGCCAUUAUCCUCAGCAAACUCACACAGGAACAGGAACUGGAUCUUGCAGAGGAGACAGAAAAUGCUCACAGAGGGAAGGAGGGACACUGCGGUGGUCUGGAGAGCGGAAGCUUUUCAGAAGGAGUAGUUUACAACAAUAUGAUGCAGUUAUCAAGAAUGGAUUCUGUAUGUGCAGAUAAUGUGAAGAUGUUCAAAAUACAUUGCAUGAAAAGAGCAGGUUGAAGAACAAUAUGUGUGGUAUGAUCUCAUUGUAUAUUUUUAAAUACUGAAUCUGAAUGAAUAUUUCUGGAGAAAUACUGAAGAGAUGGCCAAAAAUAGGUCUUUAAGAAAUAAGACUUAAGAGUCACAGAGAAAAAGGGGCUGCAAAUUACCACUUAAUAUACCUCCAAUAUUGGUAGAAUAUUUUACCUUGAGUGUAUCUUGCAUUUGUAUAGUUUUUAAGUUAAUUAAAAAGAAAGAGAAUUGUUGUCAGUAUCAGUACUGCAGAUAAAGUAAAAUCAAAAUGAAAAAUAUUAAUUAGCUUUGCAACAAGGAGGUCAUUAGUGAAUUAAUAGAAAUAUUUUCAGUGGCCGGACAUGGUGGUUCAUGCCUGUGAUCUCAGCACUUUGGUAAGCAGAGGCAGGUGGAUUGCUUGAGCUCAAGAAUUCAAGACCAGCCUGGGCAACAUGGGGAAACCCAGUCCCUAGAAAAAACUACAAAAAUUAGCUGAGUGUGGUGGCAUGCGCCUGUAGUCCCAGCUACAUGGGGGACUGCGGCAGGAGGAUGGCUUGAGCCUGGGAGGCAGAGGUUGCAUCUGGUGAACAAAGAUUGCACCACUGCACUCCAACCUGAGCAACAGAGCCAGACCUUGUGUCAAAAAAAAAAAAGAAAGAAAGAAAGAAAGAAAUCUUCAGCGAAGUGAUAAGGCUGGAUUUGUGGAUGGUAGCAAUGACAUAGGAAAAAAAAAAAGGGGAAAAUCUGUGUAAAUAGCUCAUUCUAGAAGAUUGGAUAUGAAGAGAAGGCAAGAGAUAGGGCAAUUACCAGAGGGGGCAUGUGGUUGAGAAAGAGAAUAUUUUAUUAUGGAGAGUUUCUGGCACAUUGACAUCUUGGUGGAAUUUGCCCUAGUAGGCAGAGAACCUCCUGUAGAAGCAGAAAGGUGGACAAGGACUCAAGAUUGACAUCUUGGAGCAGUAGGAAAAGAUUGGACUAAGAAAAAAGUGGACAAAAAUUAACCUUGGAUAGGAAUAGAGACACCUUUCUCACUGCAAAAUAAGGUGAAAAGGGAGGAAUAAAGGCAAUGCAGGUAAGCCUACAGUGUCAGUAGCCACAGUAUCUCAGGCUUUUGAAAUGUCCCAGAUGCCAUGAAAAUAAAUCAAAUUUGGUGUUGCAAGCCUUUAGCAGAAUAAUUUAGAGUUUGAAUAUUGAUGCCUAUAAUAAAAGCAGAUUUUCUCUUUAACAUCUUUAUCAUGCAAAGCAAGCAUGCAUGAUAGUAAAAGAUUAUAUGUGCAACUAGUGUUUUGAAGGGGUUAUCAUUUAUAUCUGGAUAAUUUAUAUGAAUUACAAAUUGCUUUUCCCUUAUUUAUUACAAUCAAGAAACCAUGCAAUAUGGUAACACUAAUUUAUCUUACUCAUAAUAUGUGAGUUUCUUAAGGGCAUGGUUUAUGUCCUAUUUGUCUUCAUUUACUUAUACUCAGCACAGGGCUCAGCAUGCAGUCACUGUUCAAUCAAUGUUUAAUAAAUAAAUGAAUGUAAUCCUGAAAAUAAAGUUGGUGCUUUAUUCUGAUAUAUAUUACCACCCAAAAUUUUUUCUUUAAAGCCUAAAAAGAAGUAAUUGCAAGGGUGUUUUCAGGAAAAGGGAGAACAGAAGAGGUUACAAAAGCUCAUAACAGUGAAGACUCAAGGGUGUAUAUUUAUUCCAUAUUGCUCACCCCAACAGUAGCCAUGACUUCAAAAUAAUAGCGCAAGUUAAUGCAUUUUCACACCUCAAAAAAAAAGGUUAUGCUCUUCACGUCAGCCUGCUGUGCACAAUUAUAGGAGAGAAACCACGGGGACUAACCGGUUGCUAAAAAGCGUCCAGAACAUCAAAGGAUUUUUACCAAUGCAUUCAUUCACCAGAGCUGCCCAGUGCAAAUUUAAUAAGAACCUUUAGUUUAGAAAUUAUGCAUCCUGAAUGGCAGACUCUUCUAAAUGACUAGAUUGCUCCAAGGGAUUGAAGAGAUGUAAUCUAAAUAACUGGCUCCAUUAUUGUUUUCUCCUUGUCAGCUGCAAUUACAAGUCACUACCAUCCGAGGGCUAUUUACCAGUCUGUAUAAAAGGGUUUAAAUAUUCAGCUAACCAAUUGGAAAUACAUCCAUGUACUAUGACUUGCUCUCCCCACUGGGACUCAUACUGACAGCUUAGCAAAAAGAGCCACGAAAUUAAAACACAUCGCACCUACUUAGCAACAUUCCUAGGUGGACCCAGCUCUGACAAGAUUCAGGCAGACUGACCAGAAAGCCGUUAUUGAUCUGCACUCUGAUUUUACUCAAUAGGAAGGAGACCUUUCAGAUAUAUUAAAUUUAUGUUUUUAAAGUAAAUUCUGGUCUUCUACACAGAGCACUCAGCAUAAAUUAAAGAUGCAGCCCGACUACAUCCACACACUAAGACUGGGGCUGUUUUGCUGAGGCAUCCUUCUGAAAUACUUUGUAUUUCUUUCUCUUCUCCUUCCCACUGCAUAAGCUAGUAUUUUGACAAGCUAACCUCCUAUUUCGUGUCUCCUCACAUCAUUCUCCACUUCUUCUCUUUAAUCAUAGAGCCCCAUGAGUUUUACCUGAGUGCUUGGCCACCACCACUUCUCCCAAACUCUCUUGUGCCUAAACAUAACAAAAAGGAUGCCAGUGGAAGUGCUAAAUGCAAUUUCCGGGACCUACCAGGUUGCCCUUUACCU
rnacentral:lncRNA from 10 species